rnacentral:lncRNA from 1 species
AGAGAAGGACCCCAUGUGAUCAUACAAGCCAGAAAUAAUCAUAUUUCUUGUAUUAUUACAUUUUAUAUAAAAACGUCCCUUCCUUACUCUUAAAAAUGAAGUUAUAUUGAACUCUUAAAAAUCCUAAUUUCAUGGAUAUUUUAUAACCAUCUUUCCAUUUGUAUCCAUUCAGGUUCUUAUUUGCAAACAACAGAAGUUGACUCUGGUUGAAAUUAGCAGAUAAGAAAUUUAUUCAAAGGAUGUGGAGAGAAGGAGAAUCAAGGUUCAAGCUUCUCAGCCCAAAAUAGCACCCGAAAAUGAUACCCCAGAAUUGGAAACUAUGAAUAUAGCUAUUGCCACUCCUGUAACCCAUCACCAGAAUGGAUUUUUUUGCAUCACUAACUUUCAAUUCCAUACAUGAGUGACAAGGCCUCUAUUAUGUGCACACACCUCUGCUGCAAGCAACUAUCUGACAUUUUCAGCUUUUAUACUUGAAACUAAGUUGGGCCACAUAAGAUAAAGCACUUCACAAAUGCAGUUCCUCAGAUAUGCUGCAUGACCUAAAAGACAAAUUUAUACCACAGCUCACUACUUAAACACACACACACACACACACAGAGAGAGAGAGAGAGAGAGAGAGAGAGAGAGAGAGAGAGAGCAAUUAAAAUAUAAUAUAUAAUUCAGUUAACCCUCUUACAAUUGAAAAUAUGCUCACUACUUCCCCAGAAUCAACCCAAAUUGUCAUUAGUUACAAUAGCCAUCAUGGUCCAUAAUUCAAAA